rnacentral:tRNA from 1 species
GUGGGUGUAGCUCAACUGGAUAGAGCGAUAGAUUCCGGUUCUGUAGGCUGAGGGUUCAAGUCCUUCCACCCACG